CUACGGGUCGCACCAGUGGGGAAUAUUGCACAAUGGGCGCAAGCCUGAUGCAGCCAUGCCGCGUGUAUGAAGAAGGCCUUCGGGUUGUAAAGUACUUUCAGCGGGGAGGAAGGGAGUAAAGUUAAUACCUUUGCUCAUUGACGCUACCCGCAGAAGAAGCACCGGCUAACUCCGUGCCAGCAGCCGCGGUAAUACGGAGGGUGCAAGGUUAACCGGAAUUACUGGGCGUAAAGCGCACGCAGGCGGUUUGUUAAGUCAGAUGUGAAAUCCCCGGGCUCAACCUGGGAACUGCAUCUGAUACUGGCAAGCUUGAGUCUCGUAGAGGGGGGUAGGAUUCCAGGUGUAGCGGUGAAAUGCGUAGAGAUCUGGAGGAAUACCGGUGGCGAAGGCGGCCCCCUGGACGAAGACUGACGCUCAGGUGCGAAAGCGUGGGGAGCAAACAGGAUUAGAUACCCGUGUAGUC
rnacentral:rRNA from 1 species